CUCUGCACUGCACGAAAGCCCUGCUACACAGUAGAUAAUUCCCAGUAUUUGCUGAAUGACAAAAAUUGAUUUAUGACUAAAGAUGCAUGCUCACUUGGAAAGGAAAUAGGGAGAAAAGCAAGAAAAAAAUUAAGAAAAUUUACAUUUAUCAAGCGGCCAUAAUGUGUCAGAAGGAGAGUCAGAAAGUGAUGUUACAAAACAGUUGUCAAAGAAAGAGUUGAUCAACGAGUAUGGAAUCAACUAAGGUAGAAAAGAAGGUGUAUUGGGCAUUUUAUAAAUAACAAAUUGUUAUAUUU
rnacentral:lncRNA from 10 species